CCUACGGGGGGCUGCAGUGGGGAAUAUUGGGCAAUGGGCGCAAGCCUGACCCAGCAACGCCGCGUGAAGGAAGAAGGCUUUCGGGUUGUAAACUUCUUUUCUCAGGGACGAAGCAAGUGACGGUACCUGAGGAAUAAGCCACGGCUAACUACGUGCCAGCAGCCGCGGUAAUACGUAGGUGGCAAGCGUUAUCCGGAUUUACUGGGUGUAAAGGGCGUGUAGGCGGGACUGCAAGUCAGAUGUGAAAACCACGGGCUCAACCUGUGGCCUGCAUUUGAAACUGUAGUUCUUGAGUACUGGAGAGGUAAGCGGAAUUCCUAGUGUAGCGGUGAAAUGCGUAGAUAUUAGGAGGAACACCAGUGGCGAAGGCGGCUUACUGGACUGUAACUGACGUUGAGGCUCGAAAGCGUGGGGAGCAAACAGGAUUAGAUACCCCUGUAGUC
rnacentral:rRNA from 1 species